ACAGUGAAAAGGACAGCUUCCAAAAUAGCAAAGAAAGUUACUGCUACUAACAAAAUAACUUUAAAAUAAGUAUUGCUGAAUGGACUGCCUCAUUUCGACAGUUAUUCGUUCCUACCAUGGAUCACAGAGAACAGUUAAACUGUGUUAAAUUAGGCUUCAGUUAGAUAGAUCCUUGUCACUGUUAAUUGGCUUCCUAUAGAUGUCAUUAGGAUUGUUUGUAGAAGAAGACAAGACUGGGCUGAUCAUCUAGAAACUCCAUUCUAUCUGAACUACAGAAAGUCUAGGGAAGAAAAAAAAAAAACUUUAGCAGGGUAAACUCUGCAACAAGCUUAAAAGAAUUCCAAGAGCAAGAUGUAAAUUCUUCAGCCAAUGGAGUUUGUGGCAUAUAUUCAACAUCUAUUGUUACAACUAAGACAGACUGAUCUGAGCUGAAAAUAUCAAUAACAGGAAUUGCUGGAACAACAUAAGCCUGCUUUGUAUGCACAUCUUGUGCUGCUGGGGAGCCACUCCUACCUCACAAUUUGAUUUGACACCAAGUUCUCCAGCAGAAAGGAGACACAUCUGACAGAAGGGCAGCCCAUGGAAAGACAAAACUGUCAAAGAAAGAAGGAAGCGAAAACAAUCCAACUGAGCAUUUCCUUGCAAUGCAUCCUUUCCCUGGGAAGACAAGAAACUGCAUUUCAGCUGCUGUAGAAAAAGCACAAGCCAGAUGUGGAGUUCAAUGCCAGUGCAUCGACUAACAGGACAAAAAAUGUGCACAGGAGGUGUCAAACCCCAGAAUGCAGCAGCACAGAGGAGCUGAAGGGGUUCUUUCUUCUCCUCCACUUGGGUGCUUCAAGCAGUGGAGCUAAUGCAGCUCCAUUGGCGGAGCAGAUGAGCAUGGCAUCCUUAAUGCCCUGUGGCCUAGCAGAUUAAUUGUGCAACCAUUGUCCUCCCACUUUUCCUGCAUAUUAAAUUGGAGCUAAUGAGUCAUUAUCUGUGGUCUGCUUGGAAGAAUGAGUUGUUUGUUCAGCACUUUGAAAUCGUAAAUCAAUAUAUACUGCAAACGUGAUGUGCCGCCUACAACUUCAUUCAACAGAGAGCAGCAUUGGACAGGAAAAAAUGAUGUAUCACCCUGGCUCUUAAUGCUGCCCUCUGCAGAAUCUGGUGAUGCGGGUGACUCCUGGGUGUCUGUCUGGAGAGCAAGUAUGAUGGAAGGGGGCUUAUUCACCAUCUCCUGUGGGCAAAGUGAGCAAACCUAAAUGAAGUAAGAGGAAGAUAUAAAUGGUGAUCACCUGAAUCAUUCUGACAUCCAUAGAGUUACUAUUCAUUUAGUAAGCCAAUGACACAAGUAUUUCCUUUGGUACUCCAAGGUUCUCUCCAGGCAUAUCAGGCAGUAUUUUCAGACAAGCACUUAAAAAAAAAAAAAAAAAAAAAAGGGAAAAAAGUCACAUUCUGUGGCUACUUCUUAGGAUUGCCUUAAAUGUUGUCUUUAGAAUUCAAGGAAGUUUAGGAAAAAAAUCUAUUUUUCUUUCUGACAUAGCAUUUUCUGAGAUAGGUUGCAGCAGCUUUCAGGGCUCCCUGGAGUGCAGCAUUUUGAGAGAUAUAGCAUUUCCAGGCUCUGUUCAGCGCCACACCACCCCCUGUGCUUCUCCUCCUUCACUCCAGGGUUCUUCCCAGGGAUGCUCUGAAAAUAGAGAAGAUUUACCACCUGUAGGACUGCAGCUGGUACUGAAAGACUGCUGG
ensembl:lncRNA